CGGCGGGACACGGCCGGGUGGCACCCACACCACGGACCCCACACCACGGACCCCACACCUCAGACCCCACACCCCGGACCCCAGACUCAGACCCUGGACCCCGGUUCCCGAAGGUGGCGCCGCGGAGUGGGGACCUGGGGGGGGGUCUCGGCUCACGGGGAGCAUCCCCCGGGACCGGGCCGUCUGCCCGCCCCCACCUCUCCCGCCGUAGCCCCUCUGUAUUUGGGAGGGGGCGACUUUCUGCCCUGGAGCGCGUUGCACCCCGUCCGCCGCUGUGUUUCGGAAAGUUUCCGCACAAAGCCGCUGCCGCUCGCGAUGCAAUCGCAAAGAAAGUCUGCACUUUCUACCCCCUUAAGGUUAAGACCUGGCUCCCCUGACUUCACCCCACACUGAUCUUCACCCCACACAAAGGUUGGCCUACUUGCAUCCAAGAGGAUUUAAAACUAAUGGGGAUGGGUGCCACGAGGAAAAUCUCUGAUCAGCAGUGCACUUUUCUGUCUGUGCUUCACCUGCUUGCAACCAGUCUUCCUAUAACCCAUCUCCACCAUUUGAAGAGGCCAAAAAUGUUGACUUCAGACUGACUCUACAUCCAGGGAGCCACAACAGUCUCAUCCAGGAAAGAGGACUGUUUUUUUUUUAUUGUGGUUUUGGUAUGUUCUCUUGCUUUUUUUUUUUUUUUUUUUUUUUUGUAUGUUUUAUUUAUUUAUUUACUUACUAAUAUAUAUGUGCUUUUAAAUACCAUUAUGAGUGCUGUGUGAUCCUCCCAGCACUCCUGAGGAAUCUGUCUAAUAUUCUGGCUAUAAGCCCUGAACCAUCAAGUAUCCAAUACUUUUAUUCAAUUAUUAAAAUGUAAACUAUUUGUUUAUACUUUAGUGAGAAUAGAUAUUGAGAAAAAACAACAACAACAAUGAAAACAAACAAACAAACAAACAAAAAAAAACUUUCACAGAAUCACAGAAUGGCUGGGGUUAGAAGGGACCUCUGAAGAUCAUCUAGUCCAACCCCACUGCUGACCAGGAUCACCUAGAGCACAUUGUGUGGGAUGGCAUCCAGGCAGAUUCUGAAGAGAAGAUAAGGCAGGUUGUGAACAGAAGGUUAUCCUUCCCUCCAGAGAAGGAGACUUCACAGCCUCUGUUGCCAACCUGUUCCAGUGCUCUGUCACUCUCACAGUAAAGAAAUGUCCCCUCAUAUUCAGCCGGAACCUCCUGUGCUUCAGUUUUUGCCCAUUGCUUCUUGUCCUCUCACUGGACACAACUGAAAAGAAUCUGGUUCCAUCCUCUUGACACCCUCCCUCCAGAUAUUUAUUGAUGAGAUCUUUCAUCAGUCUUUCCCAAGGC
rnacentral:lncRNA from 1 species